ACAGAAAACACAAUUAUGCAUCAUAUAACUUCAUGCAAAUACCAUUCAAACAAAUCCUUUGUGUCUUUUACAAUAUAAAUGUAAUGUUUUGUUUACUGCAUAUAGUUUGUCAAAAGGAAACUAAGCAUUUGGACCGAUGCUUUUCCUCUCUUGUGGCUGUGUGCUGAGGGAUGAAAGUGAUUUAUUUAGCCGUGAACCGCUCGAGCUGAAGAACUGGUUCAAACAGGACUGUGAGGACACUAUGGAUGGUGCCCACUCCCAUGAGACUCGCUCAUAAAGGAUAAGCGAGACGAGCUGUAUACCCUGACAGGCAGCCUCCUCUGGGUGAAGACGUCGCAACGGGAUGGCUAUAAGGUCCUGUUCGGUCAGGAGAGGUGCACGCGUUGAAGUUGACCCGUUACAUCAGCAGCGGAUCUGACUCGAUUGAAUACAGUGAACGGGACCGGGACACCGCAAGGCAUCAUGGACCGAGCGCUUUAAAGCUG